rnacentral:rRNA from 1 species
AAGGACGAACGCUGGCGGCGUGCUUAACACAUGCAAGUCGAACGGAGCACCCUUGAAUGAGGUUUCGGCCAAAGGAAAGGAAUGCUUAGUGGCGGACUGGUGAGUAACGCGUGAGGAACCUGCCUUUCAGAGGGGGACAACAGCUGGAAACGGCUGCUAAUACCGCAUGACGCAUUCGGAUGGCAUCAUCUGAAUGCCAAAGAUUUAUCGCUGAAAGAUGGCCUCGCGUCUGAUUAGCUGGUUGGUGAGGUAAACGGCCCACCAAGGCGACGAUCAGUAGCCGGACUGAGAGGUUGACCGGCCACAUUGGGACUGAGAUACGGCCCAGACUCCUACGGGAGGCAGCAGUGGGGAAUAUUGGGCAAUGGGCGCAAGCCUGACCCAGCAACGCCGCGUGAAGGAAGAAGGCUUUCGGGUUGUAAACUUCUUUUGUCAGGGACGAGUAGAAGACGGUACCUGACGAAUAAGCCACGGCUAACUACGUG